UACAGAGGGUGCGAGCGUUGUCCGGAAUCACUGGGCGUAAAGGGCGCGUAGGCGGCGCGAUAAGCGUGCGGUGAAAGCCCGGGGCUCAACCCCGGGUCGGCCGUGCGGACUGCCGGGCUGGAGCACUGUAGAGGCAGGUGGAAUUCCGGGUGUAGCGGUGGAAUGCGUAGAGAUCCGGAAGAACACCGGUGGCGAAGGCGGCCUGCUGGGCAGUAGCUGACGCUGAAGCGCGACAGCGUGGGGAGCAAACAGG
rnacentral:rRNA from 1 species